rnacentral:rRNA from 1 species
GACGAACGCUGGCGGCGUGCUUAACACAUGCAAGUCGAACGGAAAGGCCCUGCUUUUGUGGGGUGCUCGAGUGGCGAACGGGUGAGUAACACGUGAGUAACCUGCCCUUGACUUUGGAAUAACUUCAGGAAACUGGGGCUAAUACCGGAUCGGAGCUCCUGCUGCAUGGUGGGGGUUGGAAAGUUUCGGCGGUUGGGGAUGGACUCGCGGCUUAUCAGCUUGUUGGUGGGGUAGUGGCUUACCCAGGCUUUGACGGGUAGCCGGCCUGAGAGGGUGUCCGGCCACAUUGGGACUGAGAUACGGCCCAGACUCCUACGGGAGGCAGCAGUGGGGAAUAUUGCACAAUGGGCGGAAGCCUGAUGCAGCAACGCCGCGUGCGGGAUGACGGCCUUCGGGUUGUAAACCGCUUUCGCCUGUGACGAAGCGUGAGUGACGGUAAUGGGUAAAGAAGCACCGGCUAACUACGUG